rnacentral:misc_RNA from 1 species
GAUGAAGAACGCAGCGAAAUGAGAUACUUGGUGUGAAUUGCAGAAUCCCGUGAACCAUCGAGUCUUUGAACGCAAGUUGCGCCCGAAGCCAUUAGGCCGAGGGCACGCCUGCCUGGGCGUCACACGUCGUUGCCCCCCCAUCUACUCCUUCGGGAUUGCGGGGGGCGGAUGAUGGCCUCCCGUGCGCCUCGCCGCGCGGUUGGCAUAAAUGCCAAGUCCUCGGCGACGCACGCCACGACAAUCGGUGGUUGCGAAACCUCGGUUGCCCGUCGUGUGCGGUCGUCGCGCAUCGAGGGCUCGAAAAAAUUGCCGGGUUCCGGCUCGGCUUUCAACGCGACCCCAGGUCAGGAGGGGUUACCCGCUGAAUUUAAGCAUAUCAAUAAGCGGAGGA